GUGGGGAAUAUUGGACAAUGGGCGAAAGCCUGAUCCAGCCAUGCCGCGUGUGUGAAGAAGGUCUUCGGAUUGUAAAGCACUUUAAGUUGGGAGGAAGGGCAGUAAGUUAAUACCUUGCUGUUUUGACGUUACUGACAGAAUAAGCACCGGCUAACUUCGUGCCAGCAGCCGCGGUAAUACGAAGGGUGCAAGCGUUAAUCGGAAUUACUGGGCGUAAAGCGCGCGUAGGUGGUUUUGUAAGUUGGAGGUGAAAUCCCCGGGCUCAACCUGGGAACUGCCUCCAAAACUGCAUGACUAGAGUACGGUAGAGGGUAGUGGAAUUUCCUGUGUAGCGGUGAAAUGCGUAGAUAUAGGAAGGAACACCAGUGGCGAAGGCGACUACCUGGACUGAUACUGACACUGAGGUGCGAAAGCGUGGGGAGCAAACAGGAUUAGAAACCCGUGUAGUCC
rnacentral:rRNA from 1 species